rnacentral:lncRNA from 1 species
CUGUCCCGGAUGCUGCGGCGGCUUCUGAGGUCCAGCGCCCGGAGCUGCAGCUCAGGGGCUCCGGUGACACAGCCCUGCCCCGGGGAGUCCGCGCGAGCUGCCUCGGAGGAGCUGUCCAGGCGGAGGCAGUUCCUGCGGGAGCAUGCGGCCCCCUUCUCCGCCUUCCUCACAGACAGCUUCGGCCGGCAGCACAGCUACCUGCGGAUCUCCCUCACAGAGAAGUGCAACCUCAGAUGUGAGUCACCUUCCUGGGCCCUCUCUGGGCUGGUGUCCAUCUGCUGAAGCAGCCCUUGAAAUUUCCCUGUGCCUGGAAAUCCUCCUGUGUCCUCCAGUUCUGCUUUCUAACUUCUUCA